rnacentral:lncRNA from 1 species
GAAUCUUAUGUUGGGAAGUCAGCUGCCUCAGGUGAUGCACUACUCAUGGGUGUGUUACAUCUAUUAACUGCAACAGCAAUCCCUGUCUGAAAUUUGGGGUGGUUGGGGGGCGCAGCUACCAUCUCACAAGUGCAUUACAAAAGGCGCCUCCAGCUGGACCAACUUGGGUAAGCAGCACGAGGACAGAAAAUCUGAUCAUGAACAGUUGUAAGACAGUGUCUUUUGGAUGCUCUCUUGGUGUUCAUCAUUCCUGUAUCCCAGGAAACAUUGCCACCAUCAAAAAAAAAAAAAAAAAACAAAACAAAAAAACCCACAAACAAACAAACAAAAAAACCAAAACCCAAAAAACCCCACAAAAAGUAACUUAAGUAACACUUCCUGCAAUUGACAUUGCAUUCAUGCACUUUUGGAGCCUGUUUUCUAACUUUAGCAUCAGUGGGCACUGAACAAUUUCAGGAAUGCCUCCUUAAUUUCUCUCUCUCUUUUCCAUCAAUUGGUUUCUCUCACCCCACCAAGUCUUAGCAGCAGGUUUACAGGUUUUCCUACCAUUCCCACUAUAAAAAU